rnacentral:lncRNA from 1 species
AUGUGUUUUCAUAACAGAAGAAUGAUGUGGGUGGAUGAUGAUGAUUAUGAUGAUGACAAUGAUGACUUUGACAUUGACCAUAUGAGACAAAGUUCCUGUAACAGUGAAAUGGAGCAAGAAUUGACUGAUACAGACACAGGACUGGCCACGUGGUUGAAUGCUCCUCAGAUGCUAGGAAUAUGCAACAUCUGGAUGUGAUUCUUAAGAAGUUGUAUUCUCUCAUGUUGACAAGCCUACUGCAUGCAUGCAUGCCACAGCUGGCUGUUUACCAUUGAAAGCUCUAAAAGGUUUGCCAUCACUAUUAUAAGUCCAUUUGCUUAAAAUGAAGCUAGAAUUCAGGAUAGAGUAGAAAUAUGGAAAUAAU